AUGACGGCGACUGUGCUCCUCGACCUCGAGCUCCGCCCCCGUCCGCCCACGCUCCUCGACCUCGAGCUCUGCCCUCGCCCGCCCGGGCCGCUGAGAUAUAGGGAGCAAAAGGACUUGCAUAUGGUGUUGACUGACUUGGAGAAGGCCUAUGAUAAGAUACCACGGAAUGUCAUGUGGUGGGCCUUGGAGAAACACAAAGUUCCAGCAAAGUACAUUACCCUCAUCAAGGACGUGUAUGAUAAUGUUGUGACAAGUGUUCGAACAAGCGAUGUCGACACCAAUGACUUCCCGAUUAAGAUAGGACUGCAUUAG
rnacentral:rRNA from 1 species